rnacentral:antisense_RNA from 1 species
UUUGAUCGAGCCCAACCACAAUGGUGCAUCCGGGGUGUGAGCUCGACCGUAGGUGGCCAAUAAGGCUUCGGCCUC